UACGUAGGACCCAAGCGUUAUCCGGAGUGACUGGGCGUAAAGAGUUGCGUAGGCGGCUUGUUAAGUGGAUAGUGAAACCUGGUGGCUCAACCAUUCAGACUAUUAUCCAAACUGGCAAGCUCGAGAAUGGUAGAGGUAGCUGGAAUUUCUAGUGUAGGAGUGAAAUCCGUAGAUAUUAGAAGGAACACCAAUGGCGUAGGCAGGCUACUGGACCAUUUCUGACGCUGAGGCACGAAAGCGUGGGGAGCGAACCGG
rnacentral:rRNA from 1 species